CCACUGCUGAAGAAUCCGAAAAUAGGACGAAACGGCCGUCCAGUGC
rnacentral:hammerhead_ribozyme from 1 species